rnacentral:rRNA from 1 species
GACGAACGCUGGCGGCGUGCUUAACACAUGCAAGUCGAACGGAAAGGCCCUGCUUUUGUGGGGUGCUCGAGUGGCGAACGGGUGAGUAACACGUGAGUAACCUGCCCUUGACUUUGGGAUAACUUCAGGAAACUGGGGCUAAUACCGGAUAGGAGCUCCUGCUGCAUGGUGGGGGUUGGAAAGUUUCGGCGGUUGGGGAUGGACUCGCGGCUUAUCAGCUUGUUGGUGGGGUAGUGGCUUACCAAGGCUUUGACGGGUAGCCGGCCUGAGAGGGUGACCGGCGACAUUGGGACUGAGAUACGGCCCAGACUCCUACGGGAGGCAGCAGUGGGGAGUAUUGCACAAUGGGCGGAAGCCUGAUGCAGCAACGCCGCGUGCGGGAUGACGGCCUUCGGGUUGUAAACCGCUUUCGCCUGUGACGAAGCGUGAGUGACGGUAAUGGGUAAAGAAGCACCGGCUAACUACGUG